AUUGAGGUAAUUGAGUUUGCCUUGUCACCGUAUCACCUUGAACAAAGCAUGUCGCUCAAAAUGGGGUCUUCAGACAAGGAGUGUUGAGCAUGGAAUGAGAGAAUAUGAGAAGGAAAAAAAAGAAGAGAGUGAUCUUGGAGGUUUUUCUUUCUAAUGGCAAAUGGGAAUUAUAGGAGGAAGUUCGUAUUAUAAAGCUAGAGGUGAAAUUCUUGGAUUUUUAUAAGACGAACUAAGGCGAAGGCAUUCUUCAACGGAAUAUCCGUCGAUCAAGAACGAUAGAAGGGGGAUCGAAGACGAUCAGAUACCGUCGUAGUCUCUUCAGUAAACUAUGCCGUCUUUGAAUGGGGAAGCGAUUUUAAGUUUGAAGAGCUGUAAAAAAGGUUUGGAAAACUAAUGUCCAUCUCCGCGCAAUAAAAGAAAUUAAGAGAUUUUGGG
rnacentral:rRNA from 1 species